CCUGUCCAACGUUAAUCGGGGCAGGGUGAGUCGACCCCUAAGGCGAGGCCGAAAGGCGUAGUCGAUGGGAAACAGGUUAAUAUUCCUGUACUUGGUGUUACUGCGAAGGGGGGACGGAGAAGGCUAUGUUGGCCGGGCGACGGUUGUCCCGGUUUAAGCGUGUAGGCUGGUUUUCCAGGCAAAUCCGGAAAAUCAAGGCUGAGGCGUGAUGACGAGGCACUACGGUGCUGAAGCAACAAAUGCCCUGCUUCCAGGAAAAGCCUCUAAGCAUCAGGUAACAUCAAAUCGUACCCCAAACCGACACAGGUGGUCAGGUAGAGAAUACCAAGGCGCUUGAGAGAACUCGGGUGAAGGAACUAGGCAAAAUGGUGCCGUAACUUCGGGAGAAGGCACGCUGAUAUGUAGGUGAAGCGACUUGCUCGUGGAGCUGAAAUCAGUCGAAGAUACCAGCUGGCUGCAACUGUUUAUUAAAAACACAGCACUGUGCAAACACGAAAGUGGACGUAUACGGUGUGACGCCUGCCCGGUGCCGGAAG
rnacentral:rRNA from 1 species